GCGGGUGUGGUGAAAUUGGUAGACACGCUUGACUUAGGAUCAAGUGCCUAACAGCGUGGGGGUUCGAGUCCCUCCACCCGCA
rnacentral:tRNA from 1 species